rnacentral:tRNA from 2 species
UUGGGAUAGCUCAGUUGGUAGAGCAGAGG